rnacentral:rRNA from 1 species
AACCCUACGGGAGGCAGCAGUGAGGAAUAUUGGUCAAUGGGAGAGAUCCUGAACCAGCCAAGCCGCGUGAGGGAAGACGGCCCUAUGGGUUGUAAACCUCUUUUGUCGGAGAACAAAACCCGGGACGUGUCCCGGACUGCGUGUAUCCGAAGAAAAAGCAUCGGCUAACUCCGUGCCAGCAGCCGCGGUAAUACGGAGGAUGCGAGCGUUAUCCGGAUUUAUUGGGUUUAAAGGGUGCGUAGGCUGAAUGUCAAGUCAGCGGUAAAAAUUCCGGGCUCAACCCGGUCGUGCCGUUGAAACUGGCG